GUAGUUGUUGCCGAAUGUUCAAGGUGAUGGACUUGAAAUCCAUUGGGGUCUCCCUGGGCAGGUUUCAAUCUUGCCUGCUAUG